rnacentral:rRNA from 1 species
UACGUAGGGUGCUAGCGUUGUCCGGAAUCAUUGGGCGUAAAGAGCGCGUAGGCGGCCAGAUAAGUCCGGUGUGAAAGUCAAAGGCUCAACCUUUGAAUGCCGCUGGAAACUGUCUGGCUAGAGUCCGGAAGGGGCGAGUGGAAUUCCUGGUGUAGCGGUGAAAUGCGCAGAAAUCAGGAGGAGCACCGGUGGCGAAGGCGGAUCUCUGGGCCUUGACUGACGCUGAGGCGCGAAAGCUAGGGGAGCGAACAGG